UGUUGGGGCUGGUGAACAAGUUCUCCAGUUGACCGUCGGGGAUUCGUGAUGCUACAUGGGAGAUAUUCGUGGUAAGUCAAAGAUAUUUAAUUUUUAAAUUUACAAUAUAUUGGUACAUUUAUAUUCUAUUUACUAAUACACACUAUCUUUUAUUUGCAGUCAUACUACCAAUUCGAAACUCCUAAGGAUGAGGAGGCCGGCAAUCGGAACUUCAAGGAGGUUGCCACAC
rnacentral:lncRNA from 1 species